rnacentral:rRNA from 1 species
UACGUAGGGUGCAAGCGUUGUCCGGAAUUAUUGGGCGUAAAGAGCUCGUAGGUGGUUUGUCGCGUUGUUCGUGAAAACCGGGGGCUUAACCCUCGGCGUGCGGGCGAUACGGGCAGACUUGAGUACUGCAGGGGAGACUGGAAUUCCUGGUGUAGCGGUGGAAUGCGCAGAUAUCAGGAAGAACACCCGUGGCGAAGGCGGUUCUCUGGGACGGUACUGACGCUGAGACGCGAAAGCGUGGGGAGCGAACAGG